GACGAACGCUGGCGGCGUGCCUAAUACAUGCAAGUUGAGCGCUGAAGGUUGGUACUUGUACCAACUGGAUGAGCAGCGAACGGGUGAGUAACGCGUGGGGAAUCUGCCUUUGAGCGGGGGACAACAUUUGGAAACGAAUGCUAAUACCGCAUAAAAACUUUAAACACAAGUUUUAAGUUUGAAAGAUGCAAUUGCAUCACUCAAAGAUGAUCCCGCGUUGUAUUAGCUAGUUGGUGAGGUAAAGGCUCACCAAGGCGAUGAUACAUAGCCGACCUGAGAGGGUGAUCGGCCACAUUGGGACUGGGACACGGCCCAAACUCCUACGGGAGGCAGCAGUAGGGAAUCUUCGGCAAUGGACGAAAGUCUGACCGAGCAACGCCGCGUGAGUGAAGAAGGUUUUCGGAUCGUAAAACUCUGUUGGUAGAGAAGAACGUUUGUGAGAGUGGAAAGCUCAUCAAGUGACGGUAACUACCCAGAAAGGGACGGCUAACUACGUG
rnacentral:rRNA from 1 species